rnacentral:rRNA from 1 species
UACGUAGGGACCAAGCGUUGUUCGGAUUUACUGGGCGUAAAGGGCGCGUAGGCGGCGUGACAAGUCACUUGUGAAAUCUCCGGGCUUAACUCGGAACGGUCAAGUGAUACUGUCGGGCUAGAGUGCAGAAGGGGCAACUGGAAUUCAUGGUGUAGCAGUGAAAUGCGUAGAGAUCAUGAGGAAGACCAGUGGCGAAGGCGGCUCGCUGGGACGGUACUGACGCUGAGGCGCGAAAGCGUGGGGAGCAAACAGG